AACGAACGCUGGCGGCGUGGAUAAGACAUGCAAGUCGAACGCUUGUUAUGGGGUAGCAAUAUUCUAUAGCAGGAGUGGCGGAAGGGUGCGUAACAUGUGGGUAAUCUGCCGUGAAGACUGGGAUAACUUGCUGAAAGGCGAGCUAAUACCGGAUGAGAUAGCCGAGAGGCAGCUUUUGGUUAUCAAAGUUGGGGACUGUAAAAGGCCUAACGCUUCAUGAUGAGCCCGCAACCUAUCAGCUAGUUGGUGAGGUAAAGGCUCACCAAGGCUAAGACGGGUAGCUGGUCUGAGAGGACGACCAGCCANACUGGAACUGAGAGACGGUCCAGACACC
rnacentral:rRNA from 1 species